GACGAACGCUGGCGGCGUGCUUAACACAUGCAAGUCGAACGGAAAGGCCCUGCUUUUGUGGGGUGCUCGAGUGGCGAACGGGUGAGUAACACGUGAGUAACCUGCCCUUGACUUUGGGAUAACUUCAGGAAACUGGGGAUAAUACCGGAUAGGAGCUCCUGCUGCAUGGUGGGGGUUGGAAAGUUUCGGCGGUUGGGGAUAGACUAGCGGCUUAUCAGCUUGUUAGUGAGGUAGUGGCUUACCAAGGUUUUGACGGGUAGCCGGCCUGAGAGCGUGACCGGCCACAUUGAGACUAAGAUACGGCCCAGACUCCUACGGGAGGCAGCAGGGGGGAAUAUUGCACAAUGGGCGGAAGCCUGAUGCAGCAACGCCGCGUGCGGGAUGACCGCCUUCGGGUUGUAAACCGCUUUCGCCUGUGACGAAGCGUGAGUGACGGUAAUGGGUAAAGAAGCACCGGCUAACUACGUG
rnacentral:rRNA from 1 species